rnacentral:rRNA from 1 species
UAUGUCCUAUUAGCUAGUUGGCGGGAUAAAAGCCCACCAAGGCGAUGAUAGGUAGCUGGUCUAAGAGGAUGAACAGCCACAAUGGGAUUGAGAUACGGCCCAUAUUCCUACGGGAAGCAGCAGUAGGGAAUCUUCCACAAUGGGCGAAAGCCUGAUGGAGCAAUGCCAUGUGAAUGAUGAAGGCCAGACAGGUCGUAAAGUUCUUUUAGAGGGGAAAAAUUUGAUGGUACCCUCUGAAUAAGUGACAGCAAACUAUGUGCCAGCAGCUGCGGUAAUACAUAGGUCGCGAGCGUUAUUCGGAUUUAUUGGGCGUAAAGCAAGCGCAGGCGGAUGAAUAAGUUCUGCAUUAAAAGCAGCUGCUUAACAGUUGUUUGUGC